rnacentral:rRNA from 1 species
GAUGAACGCUGGCGGCGUGCAUAACACAUUCAAGUCGAACGAAGUAAUGAGGUGCUUGCACCGAGUUACUUAGUGGCGGACGGGUGAGUAAUGCAUGAGCAACCUGCCUCGAAGAGUGGAAUAACACAUGGAAACGUGUGCUAAUACCGCAUAAUGUGUACGGAGGGCAUCCUCUGUACAAGAAAGGGGAAACCCGCUUUGAGAUGGGCUCAUGUCUGAUUAGGUAGUUGGUGAGGUAACGGCUCACCAAGCCUGCGAUCAGUAGCCGGACUGAGAGGUUGAACGGCCACAUUGGGACUGAGAUACGGCCCAG